rnacentral:rRNA from 1 species
AGUUUGAUCAUGGCUCAGAUUGAACGCUGGCGGCAGGCCUAACACAUGCAAGUCGAGCGGAAACGACUUAACUGAACCUUCGGGGAACGUUAAGGGCGUCGAGCGGCGGACGGGUGAGUAAUGCCUGGGAAUAUGCCUUAGUGUGGGGGAUAACUAUUGGAAACGAUAGCUAAUACCGCAUAAUGUCUUCGGACCAAAGAGGGGGACCUUCGGGCCUCUCGCGCUAAGAUUAGCCCAGGUGAGAUUAGCUAGUUGGUGAGGUAAGAGCUCACCAAGGCGACGAUCUCUAGCUGGUCUGAGAGGAUGAUCAGCCACACUGGAACUGAGACACGGUCCAGACUCCUACGGGAGGCAGCAGUGGGGAAUAUUGCACAAUGGGCGAAAGCCUGAUGCAGCCAUGCCGCGUGUAUGAAGAAGGCCUUCGGGUUGUAAAGUACUUUCAGUAGGGAGGAAGGUGUUGUAGUUAAUAGCUGCAGCAUUUGACGUUACCUACAGAAGAAGCACCGGCUAACUCCGUGCCAGCCGCCCNGGUAAU